rnacentral:lncRNA from 1 species
CCCUUCCCUUCUCUCACAGCAGCAGGAGGCUGCUCCAGGAGAACUGUCUGCAGGAACGGAAUCGCCUUGUUGCUUUCUCUCUCAGAUAAAAUGUAUAGUACACAAUUAAAAAUGAUAUAAUACACGAGGAAAUAAAAUACGGAGAGACAGCAGAAGCUGAAGACUGUCCAGACACAUAGAUGGUACAGAUGCUGGAACUCUGCCAGUCAGCAGCAGAGGGGAUACUGAGUAAAGGUCAGACAGCAAGAGAGUGAGGCCGAAUCCAGAGCUGGAGACACAGAAAGACAACAAUGACGAGCUGUGGCUUGGUGGACAUGGAUGUUGACGUGUGAUCUUCAUCUUCAUCACCCUCAUGUCAACCAGAAGAGAGAAGUGUGCACAGAAGGAAGUGCAGGAUGUCAGAGGCAUAAAAGUAAAGACAGAGUCAGGGAAGGAGAGUGGAGUUUAAACGAUGUAGGGACAUUGCAUUAGCUAGGAUAAGAUUAUUAACAUCAAAUUUUGAUACAGGUCCACAAAUAUUGUAAUUUCAAGGGUAAUUAUUGAAUGAGUCACAAAUGCUUAUAAUAGAAGGGAAAUGAAUAAUUGAAAUAAAAGCAAUUAAGUAUAAUUAAGUGUAGAGAGAAAAUGGAGAGAAAAAAAGCAUAAAAAGCAUAAAAAAGCACUUGUCAGACAUACAUGUGCAUGUGUCAAAUUCUGUCAGUGUAACUGAAGUAGAUAUUGUGGUUGAAGUGAUCAGACUACGCUAAGAAGAAACUUUACUCUCUUUAUGAGAUGCAGUCAUAUAUAAGGAUUUAGAAAGAAAAUGAGGAAAAUGUUUGGAAAAAUUACUUUAAAAGCUAAAGCUGAAAGUGAAAGCUAAGGUAGCUAUAUUAAUAUUGGAUAAAAUAUACUUUAAGAUGAAAAGCAUCAGUGUAAAUAAUAUAUAGAUUAUGACAAGAGAAUACCGCAGCAGGAAGCUAGGGUGUUUCUAAGCUUCUUCACUAAAUAUCAUAUCAGAAUGUGUAUCAUGGAGAUUAUGAAAACCUCAGGGCUCAGUAGACAAAGUUACCAGUAUUAAGGAUGCCUUUACUGCAUGCCUAUCAGAGGAGGGAGCAAUCAGACAAAAAUCAGCAAGAAUUCAAAGCUGAAGAACACACCACUCAAACUUGCCCUAAAGGUUCCCAGAGAACAAAUUCUUACAAGCGUGGAACUGAUUAUUCUCAAGUGCAUAUACAAUACUCAUAAACAUUUAUCCUAUACACGGCGAGAAAGAAAACCUGACAUUCCAAGGAACUAUAUUUAUAUAGUGUAUGAUUGCAAUGUAAUUUUGCUACAAAUAAAUAAAAAUUAGCUUAUAAUUGAAAAGUAAAAAAUAAACAUCUAAAUUACUGAUGAGAUGAAUAAAAAUUACAAUUUACAAGACAGAAUGUAUAUUGAUGAAAAUACUACUUAUGAUUAGAGCAGUGUUGUAUUGGUUAAGUUUACAUUGCUUUGAGUAGCUCUCUUCCUGGAUCCCAGUGUCCCUUUGUUCAAGUCCCACCAGGGUAGACUGGUCUUGAAAUGAACGUGGCAAUGGAUCCUGGACCACAGGCCACGGUGCGCUUAAUCUUCACACUGCUUUUAGUCAGAGGUUACCAUAGUACAUUGAAGGGACCGGCAUCUGGUAUAGGCUCAGGACUCCCCAAGACCACGUUCCCAGCACAAAGAUGUAUUUGCCUCAGAAGGACAAAAGGCAGGGAAUAAGAGACAAAGACAGGAGUUAGAGGAUGAUGGAGAAGGGGAAGGGAGCACGGUAUUUGUGCCCCCACAGUGGCAAGGGGGACAAAGGACUGCCUCUGGAUAGAGAGGAGACAGAUGAGGCCCAUAGGAAAUGGAGGUUUGAUAAGGCAAAAAGGGGAACCCUGUGUUAGGACGAGGCAUUUAAUUUUGAUUUGGCUUGUUAAUUAGUGCUGCAAAAAGGGCUGUUUGAUUGCUGGACUUGAAUACUUUGAUAGUUGGACCUUGGCAGUCAGCCUCCGGAGGAAGUGGCCGAAUAAGUAAUAGACCUUAGUGCUGAGCUUUAGGAAUGUAAUUCAAUGGUUUUUAGCAAGAGGGGAAUAGAGAAGGGCAAGGCCUGCCAGAGCCAUGCUUGCCACACUCAGGCACGCUAGAAUCCUUUCAUAAUUAGUCAUAAUUACCCCAUUACCUUCAAGAAGGAUCUUCUGAGAACCCCAUGCUGUGUGCACGCUUAUCCCAGAAGGUAUCAUCUGUGGGCUGUAAGAAGAGACCAAGUGCACUCAGGUAGGGGAAAUGUCAAGCUAUGGAGACAUCUCAAAAGGAAAAAAGGGAGAGGCACACAGGAAAGGGGGUUUGGGAGAGCUGAUCGAGUCUCCCAUCUGACUGUGAGCAGUGAAUGAUCUUGGUGCUGCCAGCCAUCUUUGACUAUCUUCCGUCCUGCAAUCACAAGCAUUUUAUCUUCAUGCUGGGUUACUCUUCUAUGUCCUGCCUCCAAAGGCUUGCUUGUAUAUAUUUUCCUGGGGAGCUGGGUAGGAUGGUAUGCUGGUUAAACUUGAUUAUAAGUUUGAUGGACUGGAGAAUCACCUAGGAGACACACCCAGAGGUGUGUGAAGGGCUUUAAAGAGAGGUUGACUAAGAAGGGAGGAACCACCGUGAAUUCGAGCACAGUCCAUGGGCUAGGAUCCCAGACUGCAUGAAAAGGAGAAAGCAAGUUGGGUACAACAUUAAUCUGUUUCAUGAAUGUGGAGGCUCUAGCAGGCCUGGACAUGGCACACAUGGCUCUGGCAGGCCUCGCUCUUCUCCCCAGUUCCUUCUGCCUUGCUAAGACCCAUUAGAUUAUAUUCUUAAAGCUAGCCAUCAAGAUCUAGUCCUUAGGAUCUAGUUAGGAUGAGGUGUUUAAUUGGAUAUGUUAAUUUGGUGAGCCAAAUGGGGGCUUUUGAUUGCUGGACUUCAAUACUCUGAUAGCUGAACCUUGGUAGUCAGUCUCCGGAGGAGCAAGUGGCCAAAUAAGGGACUAGACCUUGGUGGCUAGCAUUGGAAUGUAAGCUAACUCUUUUUUUUUUUUUUUUUUUGCAAGACAGAGGGGAUGGGGGCCUUGCUCGCCAUACUCAGACCUGUUGAGGCCCUUCAGACAUCCAGCCUGUAUGUCUGAACAGACAUUGAGCUGUCUGAACCCUGUCAUGCUGGGGUGGCCUUUGGUGAUACAGCUGUUUUUGAGCCAUUUCUCCUUCUGUAAGAAACCACAAUAAAACUCAAAACUUG